GAAUAUUCAUGUCCCUGCACACAUGGCUUGAAACAGUCAGAAGACUGGUGUUUAGGGGAAAGAGUUCAGUUGUAUCAGGCUAUUUAGGGGGCUAUCUGCAAGAAUGCAGGGACAUUUCUCACACUAGUCCACUUGCUUACUAAUAUGAAAAACUAAUGAUUAAAGCAUCUGAUCUACCGAGGGCUGUGAGAUUAUUAGACCAAGCUUGUGAAACUUUUUUGUCACUGUCUGGAAAAGUCAGACUUCUCUGGAUGUUGCAGUUGAAUUUUUUUCCCCUCCUCAGAGGAUGUGGUAUGGCUUCAGCCAAUAAUUCAGAAUCAUCAGAGAGUGACACGGCAUCAAAGCAACACUAAAUGUACAGAUCCUCUUCUUCGCCUGGGCUAUGUGAGUUGCAACUACCUUUAAGCAAGUUUCUGAGCUUUUCUUACUUGUUUCCAGUGAACAUGCUUCUUCCUUUACCCAGACUGACAAAGUAGCAAAAAUGAGACAGUAUCACGCUCUGCUGGUUCAGCUGCAAUUUACAUGGUGCUGUCGGCCCAUUUUCUUGCUUGAUGCUUGAGUGUGACUGAUGAUACAAGUCUCAACACAGAGCUGGGAACAGCAUCAGAUUACCAAGCAAGAGAAGCUUCCACAAGGAGCCCUAGUAACUCAAUGCUAUAAAACGCACCAAUGAUUCCAGUCUUAAGGUUAUAUGGCAAUGUACAAAAGAAAGGAAGAUACUGAAGAAUUUCUCACAACGACAAUCCCUGCCCCAAGGAGUUUAUGAAAAUACUACUAUUGUCACUGCAUUCUAAUUGAGAUUGGUCUCUGCUGGAUUUUUUAAAUCUGGACUCUGGCUCUUCUAAAUAAAGUUCUGCAUAACAAU